rnacentral:rRNA from 1 species
GGUUAAGCGACUAAGCGUACACGGUGGAUGCCUAGGCAAUCAGAGGCGAUGAAGGACGUGCUAAUCUGCGAAAAGCGUCGGUAAGGUGAUAUGAACCGUUAUAACCGACGAUGUCCGAAUGGGGAAACCCAGUGCAGUUCGUUGCACUAUCGUUUGAUGAAUCCAUAGUCAAACGAGGC